rnacentral:rRNA from 1 species
UACGUAGGGGGCGAGCGUUGUCCGGAGUUACUGGGCGUAAAGGGCAUGCAGGCGGUCGGACGCGUUUCGGGUGACAGCGGGUGGCUUAACUACCCGAGUGGUCGAAAGACGGUUUGACUUGAGGACGCGAGAGGGACACGGAAUUCCGGGUGGAGUGGUGAAAUGCGCAGAUAUCAGGAGGAACACCAACGGCGAAGGCAGCACUCUGGGCCGGAACUGACGCUGAGGUGCGAAAGCGUGGGGAGCAAACAGG